rnacentral:miRNA from 1 species
CACACCGGACGAGAUUUCAU